UGCGGCCAGACUCCGGUUGAUCCUGCCGGACCCGACCGCUAUCGGGGUGGGGCUAACCCAUGGAAGUCUAGGAGCCGGGGGCACGGCCGGCUCCGGCGGACGGCUCAGUAACACGUGGCUAACCUACCCUCGGGAGGGGGAUAACCCCGGGAAACUGGGGAUAAUCCCCCAUAGGUGUAGACUUCUGGAAUGGGUCUACGCCGAAAGGGCUACGGCACCAUCCCUGCCGUAGCUGCCCGAGGAUGGGGCUGCGGCCUAUCAGGUAGUUGGCGGGGUAACGGCCCGCCAAGCCUAUAACGGGUAGGGGCCGUGAGAGCGGGAGCCCCGAGAUGGGCACUGAGACAAGGGCCCAGGCCCUACGGGGUGCACCAGGGGCGAAACUUCCGCAAUGCGGGAAACCGUGACGGAGUCACCCCGAGUGCCACCCGAUGAGGGUGGCUUUUGCCCGGUCUAAAAAGCCGGGCGAAUAAGCGGGGGGCAAGCUUGGUGUCAGCCGCCGCGGUAAUACCAACCCCGCGAGUGGUCGGGACGUUUAUUGGGCCUAAAGCGUCCGUAGCCGGCCCGGUAAGUCCCUCCUUAAAGCCCACGGCUCAACCGUGGGAGCGGAGGGAUACUGCCGGGCUAGGGGGCGGGAGAGGCCGGGGGUACUCCUGGGGUAGGGGCGAAAUCCUAUAAUCCCAGGAGGACCACCAGUGGCGAAGGCGCCCGGCUAGCACGCGCCCGACGGUGAGGGACGAAAGCUGGGGGAGCAAAGGGGAUUAGAUACCCCCGUAGUCCCAGCUGUAAACGAUGCAGGCUAGGUGUUAGGCGGGCUUCGUGCCCGCCUAGUGCCGUAGGGAAGCCGUUAAGCCUGCCGCCUGGGGAGUACGGCCGCAAGGCUGAAACUUAAAGGAAUUGGCGGGGGAGCACCACAAGGGGUGAAGCUUGCGGUUUAAUUGGAGUCAACGCCGGAAACCUUACCGGGGGCGACAGCAGGAUGAAGGCCAGGCUAACGACCUUGCCAGACGAGCUGAGAGGAGGUGCAUGGCCGUCGCCGGCUCGUGCCGUGAGGUGUCCUGUUAAGUCAGGGAACGAGCGAGACCCCCGCCCCUAGUUGCUACCCGGUCCUUCGGGACCGGGGCACUCUAGGGGGACUGCCGGCGAUAAGCCGGAGGAAGGUGGGGGCUACGGCAGGUCAGUAUGCCCCGAAACCCCCGGGCUACACGCGAGCUGCAAUGGCGGGGACAACGGGUUCCGACCCCGAAAGGGGGAGGCAAUCCCUUAAACCCCGCCUCAGUAGGAAUCGAGGGCUGCAACUCGCCCUCGUGAACCUGGAAUCCCUAGUAACCGCGUGUCAUCAACGCGCGGUGAAUACGUCCCUGCUCCUUGCACACACCGCCCGUCGCUCCACCCGAGGGAGGCCCAGGUGAGGCCUCCUGCCGACGAGGUGGGAGGUCGAAUCUGGGCCUCCCAAGGGGGGAGAAGUCGUAACAAGGUGGCCGUAGGGGAACCUGCGGCCGGAUCACCUCCUUUCG
rnacentral:rRNA from 1 species